CCUACGGGAGGCAGCAGUGGGGAAUUUUGGACAAUGGGCGCAAGCCUGAUCCAGCCAUUCCGCGUGAGUGAAGAAGGCCUUCGGGUUGUAAAGCUCUUUCGGCAAGGGAAGAAACGAUCCUGGCCAAUACCUGGGAUUAAUGACGGUACCUGAAGAAGAAGCACCGGCUAACUACGUGCCAGCAGCCGCGGUAAUACGUAGGGUGCGAGCGUUAAUCGGAAUUACUGGGCGUAAAGCGUGCGCAGGCGGUUUUUCAAGUCUGAUGUGAAAGCCCCGGGCUUAACCUGGGAACUGCGUUGGAAACUGAAAGACUAGAGUGCGGCAGAGGGGGGUAGAAUUCCACGUGUAGCAGUGAAAUGCGUAGAUAUGUGGAGGAAUACCGAUGGCGAAGGCAGCCCCCUGGGUCGACACUGACGCUCAUGCACGANAGCGUGGGUAGCAAACAGGAUUAGAUACCCUGGUAGUCCACGCCCUAAACGAUGUCAACUAGUUGUUGGGGAAGGGAGACCUCCUUAGUAACGCAGCUAACGCGUGAAGUUGACCGCCUGGGGAGUACGGUCGCAAGAUUAAAACUCAAAGGAAUUGACGGGGGCCCGCACAAGCGGUGGAUUAUGUGGAUUAAUUCGAU
rnacentral:rRNA from 1 species